CAGUGCCCCUGUGGAAGUUGUGGACCAAGGAGUACCAGAAAAGGAGGAGACACCGCCUUCUGUUGACGCAGAGGAAGACGAAGAAACUGAAGAUGCUGGGCUCGAUGACUGGGAAGCUAUGGCCAGUGAUGAGGAGAGAGAAAAAGAAGGAAAUAUGAUUCACAUAGAAGUAGAAGAAAACCCUGAGGAAGAGGAGGAGGAAGAAGAGGAUGAAGAUGAAGAAGACAGUGAAGAUGAGGAAGACGAAGGGGACAGUGAGGGCAGCGAUGGGGACGAGGAGGACUACAAGCUAUCGGACGAGAAGGACUUGGGGAAAGCUGGAGACACGAAGCCCAACAAAGACGCUAGCUCAGACUCCGAGUAUGACUCUGAUGACGAUCGGACUAAAGAAGAGCGGGCGUACGACAAAGCAAAACGGAGAAUUGAGAAACGACGACUUGAACAUGGUAAAAAUGUAAAUACAGAAAAGCUAAGAGCCCCUAUCAUCUG
rnacentral:lncRNA from 1 species